rnacentral:rRNA from 1 species
AAUAUUGCGCAAUGGAGGAAACUCUGACGCAGCGACGCCGCGUGAGCGAUGAAGGUCUUCGGAUCGUAAAGCUCUGUCCUUGGGGAAGAAGAUCGAAAGAUUUGACGGUACCCGAGGAGGAAGCCCCGGCUAACUACGUGCCAGCAGCCGCGGUAAUACGUAGGUGGCGAGCGUUGUCCGGAAUUAUUGGGCGUAAAGCGUGCGUAGGCGGUCUAUUAAGUCUGAUUUGAAAGCCCAUGGCUUAACCAUGGAGGGUGAUUGGAAACUGGUAGACUUGAGUACAGGAGAGGAAGGUGGAAUUCCACGUGUAGCGGUGAAAUGCGUAGAUAUGUGGAGGAACACCAGUGGCGAAGGCGGCCUUCUGGCCUGAAACUGACGCUGAUGCACGAAAGCGUGGGUAGCAAACAG